UACAGAGGUCUCAAGCGUUGUUCGGAUUCAUUGGGCGUAAAGGGUGUGUAGGUGGCGCGCUAAGUCGGGUGUGAAAUUUCGGAGCUUAACUCCGAAACUGCAUUCGAUACGGGCGUGCUUGAGGACUGGAGAGGAGACUGGAAUUUACGGUGUAGCGGUGAAAUGCGUAGAUAUCGUAAGGAAGACCAGUGGCGAAGGCGGGUCUCUGGACAGUUCCUGACGCUGAGGCACGAAGGCCAGGGGAGCAAACGGG
rnacentral:rRNA from 1 species